GCGUGCGUGGUGUAGUGGGUAGUGCUCCAGUUUUGUAACUUGUGGGCGCGGGUUCGAUUCCACUCGGGCUUA